ensembl:lncRNA
UCUCUACCCAUCUUCUCUCUCUCUCUACCCCUCUCUCUCUCUCUACCUCUCUCUCUCUACCCCUCUCUACCCCUCCUCUCUCUUUCUCUCUACCCAUUUUCUCUCUCACUCUACCCCCCUUCUCUCUACCCCUCAUCUCUCUCUUUCUCUCUCUCUACCCCUCUCUCUCUCUUUACCCCUCAUCUCUUUCUCUACCCCUCCCUCUUCUCUCUCUCUCUCUCUCUCUCUCUCUCUCUACCCCUCUUCUCUUUCUCUCUCUCCCUCUCUCGUUCUCUCUCUCUCUCUCUUUCUCUACCCUCAUCUCUCUCCCUCUCUUUCUCUCAUUCUCUCUAACCCCUUCUAUCUCACUCUCUCUCAUUCGCUCUACCCUCUCUCUCUGUCUCAUUCUCUGCCCCCUCUCUCUCUCUGUCUCUCAUGCUCUGAAAUGUGAGGUUUUCGCUGUAUGACACAUGCCCAUUGCUAUGUCAGGUCCUCUUGUCUGAGUCCCAGUACUAAGGCUGUUGACCGCUGGGUCAUUGUGGAGACUGAGGGUCUGUCAUCACGAGGGGAAUGGACAAUGUGAGAUCCCCAUGUAUUGUGCAACACUAAGGGAGCCAGACCUCCAUGUACACUUAAAGGGGAUGGAAAGGGAGCCAGACCUCCAUGUACACUUAAAGGGGACGGAAAGGGAGCCAGACCUCCAUGUACACUUAAAGGGGAUGGAAAGGGAGCCAGACCUCCAUGUACACUUAAAGGGGACGGAAAGGGAGCCAGACCUCCAGUUUGGAGUUUGGAAUCUCAGAUGCACUUCCGCUUUUCAAAAUGGACUUUUCCGUUUCACUAAAAAGACUGGGGGACUGAAGUGUAUGAGAGUAAUGUUGUGGCUUUGUGAUAGAACACUCCUCUCCCCGGUCAUGACCGACCAUUUACAGAGAGCUGGCCGAGAACAUCCGAAUGAACGCAGAAAUAAACUACAUUUCAGAGAAAAGUGAGCUAAAUACAACUUUUAUAUUUGACUUUAUUCCAUGUUAUUUCUUACUUUACUUUUCAAAGAGGCAGCAGAAGUUAUUCAUAUGUGAAAUGAAAUUAUAUUGUAGACCCUUGAAAUAUUAGAGCGACGAGGGUACCAGUCUCUGCAGCCAAACAGAGAAUCAGCCGUUUGCUAUUGUUGUUGUUGUUUUCCUGCUUGUAUCACAAUGCAUUCUGGUACUUGUAGUCCUGUAAUGCUUUUUUUUAAGGUGAAGAACAUGGUGUGGUUAUCAGAUCAAUUUAUUUUUAGUUGGUUUUAAUGUGGAUAAAACAUGUUUGGAUUUCAUAUGAAAUGUUCUUGUUUUGGCAAAGGAAAGCUAUGGGGAAAAAUGGGAAAAACACAAAUAAAGCUUUUUGUCUAUAGCGGAUAUAGCUCUGGUUUACAGUGUGACAUUUCUAUACUGUAGGCUACAGAGUGAAUACAUCAUCAAAGUAUUCUGAACUGCUGUUUCAAUCAAACAUGCCCUCCGGACGUUGUUUGCAGUGUCUUUACCUAAACUAAAUUGCAGUCUAAUGUUG